rnacentral:rRNA from 1 species
UACGUAGGGUUCAAGCGUUAUCCGGAAUCACUGGGCGUAAAGCGUGCGUAGGUGGCGUGUUAAGUGCAAUGCGAAAUCCUGUGGCUCAACCAUAUGGACUGUAUUGCAUACUGGCAUGCUAGAGGACGGCAGAGGCAAGUGGAAUUACCGGUGUAGCAGUGAAAUGCGUAGAGAUCGGUAGGAACACCAAUGGCGAAGGCAGCUUGGCUGGACCGUAACUGACGCUGAGACACGAAAGCGUGG